rnacentral:lncRNA from 1 species
UUCGAAUUCUCUCAUACGCAUCUCUUCCGUCUGCAUUCUGUUUGGACUGUUUUUGAACUCGUGGGACUCCGUUCGUUGUCCUGGAUCUUGUUCUGGGCUUAUUAUCGAUCGAAUUUCGAAGCAUUUUCCUCAACAAAGAAUACAACAAUGAUAGCUUAUAUAGCUUGGCUGAUUUGGUUGGCCCAAAACAUAAAGAAUCUUUCGAAAACAUCUCUCAUCCCCUAUAGG